rfam:Hordeum vulgare subsp. vulgare, WGS project CAJW01000000 data, contig: morex_contig_2549646
UAUAUACUCCCUCCGUCCGAAAAUACUUAUCCAGGGAAUGGAUGUAUCUAGAUGUAUUUUAGUUCUAGAUACAUCCAUUUCUAUUCAUUUUUGCGACAAAUAAUUCCGGACGAGGGAGUACUUA